rnacentral:rRNA from 1 species
AACGGAGCUGAGAGGAGCUUGCUUUUCUUAGCUUAGUGGCGAACGGGUGAGUAACGCGUGAGUAACCUGCCCUGGAGUGGGGGACAACAGUUGGAAACGACUGCUAAUACCGCAUAAGCCCACGAUCCGGCAUCGGAUUGAGGGAAAAGGAUUUAUUCGCUUCAGGAUGGACUCGCGUCCAAUUAGCUAGUUGGUGAGGUAACGGCCCACCAAGGCGACGAUUGGUAGCCGGACUGAGAGGUUGAACGGCCACAUUGGGACUGAGACACGGCCCAGACUCC